rnacentral:rRNA from 1 species
AUUGAACGCUGGCGGCAUGCUUUACACAUGCAAGUCGAACGGCAGCGCGGGCUUCGGCCUGGCGGCGAGUGGCGAACGGGUGAGUAAUGCAUCGGAACGUGCCCAGUAGUGGGGGAUAGCCCGGCGAAAGCCGGAUUAAUACCUCAUACGACCUGAGGGUGAAAGCGGGGGACCGAAAGGCCUCGCGCUAUUGGAGCGGCCGAUGUCGGAUUAGCUAGUUGGUGGGGUAAAGGCUUACCAAGGCGACGAUCCGUAGCUGGUCUGAGAGGACGACCAGCCACACUGGGACUGAGACACGGCCCAGACUCCUACGGGAGGCAGCAGUGGGGAAUUUUGGACAAUGGGGGCAACCCUGAUCCAGCCAUGCCGCGUGCGGGAAGAAGGCCUUCGGGUUGUAAACCGCUUUUGUUCGGGAAGAAAUCCUCUGGGCUAAUACCCCGGGGGGAUGACGGUACCGGAAGAAUAAGCACCGGCUAACUACGUG